AAACUGGGAGCUGAAGUUGAGUCGAAUGGAAAAGAAUGGAACUGAUAUGUUCAGGUAACAAAGCCCAGAGACAUCUCCCAGGUGGAGACGCCCCCCCCCGCCCCCACGCCGUUUCCAGCGUGGGAGAGGAAAGACUGGAGAUAAUUUUUUCUUUUCUUUAAAAACCAACCAACCAAACAAAUGUAUUAUUGCUGGGUGUGGUAGCGCAUGCCUUUGAUCCUAGCUUUAGGGAGGCAGAGACAGGCUGAUUUCUGUGAGUUUGAGGCCAGUAAGGGCCACAUGGUAAGACCCUGUCACACACACACAAAAACAAAAAACAAACAAAAAACCCAAACCAAACCAAACAAACAAACAAAAAACUCAACCUAUUGUUGUUGUGGGGUUGUCAUUGUCAUCGUUGUAGUCGUCAUUAUUGGGGAAGGCCACCGUGGGACUGGAGGUCAGAGGACACUGUGUAGAGUCGGUUCUCUUGUUCCCGGUGUACAGGUUCUGGGUGGGUGGGUGGGUGGGAUUGAAUUUCUUUCUCAGCAAGUGUCUUGAUACCUUGUCCUUCCCACAGCCCAGAAGAGAAAAAGCCUUGACUGCCUCCUGGUCCUGUCCUGGCUGAUUGGACCAACGGUAGACACUUGACCUAAUCCUGGCCUGACAGCUCCCUCUGGGAGUCUACAGCUAAACAGGGAAGCUGGUGAGUUGUCCCUGAGGGCUGGGGAAGCUGAGGCUGCCAUCUCUGGGCAACAAGCUCAGUCAUGCAUCCCCCUGACAGGACAUCUGAGCAAGCCACCUCUACAGAGAGGGACAGGUGGCUCUGUGCAGUCACAAGCUGAGCCGAAGGGAAAGAGGAAACACUCCCUUGUCCCUGUUCGCCACACUGGCCUAGGCUUCCCCAGCGUCUGUUCAACAGGAACACCCUCUCACUGUCCCCCCACUCCCCCCCCCCCGCUCCCCCAGUCAAAUGGGCUGUUCUAGCAGUCAAGUAUUAAGGGGACUUUCCUCCUUCAGCUGUGAGAUGUGUCACAAGAGCACACAACAACUCACCAUUGCCCCUGGAGUGCUCUCGCCAACAUUCUGCCUCAGCCUCCCUGGCCAUCAUCCUGUACCUGGCUUCUCUCCAUGGAAACAGCAUCCACCCAGAGGAGGGAGGCUUCUGUCCAACCCAGGGAGAUCUAGCAAGCAAGGCGGAGCUUUCAAGUACAUCUUCUUUUUAAAUCAGGGCACUCAGAGAUUCUGGGUCACUUUGAAAAAUCUGCUAUCUGUUUUUGAUCCCCUCAUACUGUACCCCAGCCUACCCUGCUGAUGGGACUUUGGACUUCCUAGCUAUCUGGAUGAGAAGUCUCAGGGCGCUCUGCACAGAGCAGCAUUUGAGGCAGUGUGGGAAAUGGGCCAGAAGGGACACCAAGGCUGGGGAGGUGGAGGGGCCAUAGCUCCCAGUUGUCCCAGGUG
rnacentral:lncRNA from 1 species